CCGCCCACCACCUCCACCUGACUUGAGUUCUUUGAAGACCAGACCUACAUGCCUCAAAAGUCUUUCUCCUCCCCUUUGGGAGGCAGACACAUAAGAAAGAAUGGAGGAGAGGGGCAGCUAGGCUGACAGGAAGCUGCCUGUCAUUUCAUCUCUCUCCUGCGGACUUUGUAGGCCAAAGAAGAGGUCACUGAGGGAGGCAGGGGACGCUCUGGCCUGGGAAGGACUUGAAAAUGGGGCAGUGGAGCCCUCCCGACAUCUCCAUCCCCUGAGGACGUCUCUCAGACGUGUGGAGGCUGCUCUCCGGCUUUGAGUUUAGGAGGAGGUGGAGCUCAGGGAUGCUGAAACCCAUGCUCAGCCAGGAGGAGCACCCACUGAAAGGUGAUGGGUGACCCUGCCCUAUAAAAGGAGUCAUCUCGUUGUCAUUUAUACAAACAGGUCAACGUCAUUUCCAACACUAUCUCCCCAACCCUUGCUGGUGGAUGCUAAUCCCGCGGGACCUCUCCUCGGCUGCACUUGGAUUUGCUUCGAUCUUUCUGGCAUUAUCAAGGUAGGAGCCAUUGUAUUUUCCCAUGUGAAAACCCUUAGGUGAGAUGCCAGCUGGGGAACAUCAACCAGACUUGUGAAACUUGCUUCUCUCUGGAGCCAAUUAAAGGAACAUGGAUGGGACCUGGAAGACCCACGUCUCAUCCUGGCUCUGAGCAGAAGCUGGGGAAUUUGUUUAAUUUUUCUGUAGCUCAGUUUCCUCAUCUGUAAAGUGGGGCGAGAUGAUCCCUUUCCUUGUUGGCCUCUGUCCUGAGGUCAUGGAAGAGAGGAACGCUUGCUGGCAUGGGAGCAGCAGCAGGAGCCCACCCAGCAGAGGAACCCUUGCUGGCCCAAGACUUUGAAAGGUGCCUGGACCUGACAGGCCAGGCAGGUCCAGGCAUGGUCCUCAGUCAUGUCCACUGACAGUCUGACCCCGUGUCAGGAAAGAAGCAGUGGGCACCUGUCAUGCAGGCCAUGAGCAGAAAGGAGCAGUGGCUCUAGAGGCAAUCCCAGUCCCGACUCUGCCGCUGCCUCGAAGGGCAGAGGGGCAGGAUGGGCCCUGGAGCUCAGAGGUGGAGAUCUUCCUUCAGCCCCAAAGCCUUUACUCAAGCGCAGUCUUGAGAGUGGACAACCAGGAAGGCUCAGUGUGUGGAACAGAUCUUGGGCUGGACUCCCUUGGAGCAUUAGCCUGGCCCCAUCUGACCGGCCCCUUCUCCCUACACACAGAGAAGCUGUACCCAGAGAAAGCAAUGUUUGCCCAAGAUCACACUGCUGGUUCAUGACAGGGUCAAGACCUAUACAUAGAAAACUAUAAAAC
ensembl:lncRNA